rnacentral:lncRNA from 1 species
GUUUGUAGAUCCACCACAGCAUAUUUUAAACUACAGCUCACUGUACCAGGUUGGGGAAUGCCAUGAAGUCUACAGCCCUGGCAUUGACUGGGACCUCUUGUUCCUCAUUUUCAGAAGUGAUAGGCAAAGCUGGUGCUUCCUGCAGAAGGCAGGAGGGAAUGGGAGUGCUGCCCAUCCUCAUGCCCUCAAAACCUACCCAGUGGGUCAGUCAAGGUGCAGCUACUAGGGGUUCCACCUUUCAUAUUCCUAUUGUCUUGAGCUCAUUCUUGGCCAGACCCGGAAGAUGAAGUCACAGAUGCAAGUACCGAAUUGGAGGUUUAAGCUCUUAGCCCCCUCACCGAAGAUCAACAUGGCAGAGGGAACCAGUAAUGGACAUGAGUCGUAGUAAGGUAACUGCAAAAAGGAGGAAGUGUUUUCUUACUCAUUUUGUUUCAAGCUGCCUAACUCUUUAAAAAAUG